UAUCUUUUUUAAAAGCGUUAAAGCUUUUCCUUUUGAGAAAUUUAGUAGAAAAUUUUGGAGUAUAAGUUCAAGAUUGUAGUAAAGUAUUGGGAAUUUCCAUUUUUUUGGAAGUUAUAAUGCUGAAAUUAGUAAAGAUAAGCUUUUAUUAUCUGAGGAUUGAACAAGCCUAACUUUGGAUGGGAAAAUAGAUUACGAAUCAAGAAGUAGUUUUUAUGGAUUGUCUGCCGACUCAGGGGAUAAGGUUUUUAAGAAUCAAGGAAAAGGAACUCGGCAAAUUUAUAUCUNNNNNNNNNNNNNNNNNNNNCGCCCUUCGCAAAGUAUUYUAAUGUAUGAAGGGUCCUGCCUGCCCAGUGACUUCUAGUUAAACGGCCGCGGUAUCUUGACCGUGCAAAGGUAGCAUAAUCAUUUGCCUCUUAAAUAGGGGCUGGUAUGAAUGGCAAGACGGGGUUUAGCUGUCUCUUCCUUGAUGAAUUUAAAUUUAAUUUCUUUGUGAAGAAGCAAAGAUGUAAUCGUAGGACGAGAAGACCCUGUCGAGCUUAAGCAGAAAAUAAGGGCAAGUGUUAAAAGUAUUCUUUUGCUAAUGCACCCUGCGGGGGUAAAGGUUUUUACUUUAGAUAUGGGUAUGCUGUGCACUUUAUGUUUUGAUUGGGGCAAUCACGGAGAAGAAAUACCCUCCGUUGUAAAAGAUUAAUGUUGUGAAGAGACUUCUUUAAAAUGUAAGAAUACAUAUUUAUGAUCCACAAGUUAAGUGAGUAAAGGAACAAGUUACCGCAGGGAUAACAGCGUAAUUUUUUUGGAGAGUUCAUAUUGAUAAGAAAGUUUGCGACCUCGAUGUUGGAUCGGGAUUUCCAGGAGAUGCAGCAGUUUCCAAGGGUUGGUCUGUUCGACCAUUAAAAUCCU
rnacentral:rRNA from 1 species